rnacentral:rRNA from 1 species
UACGAAGGGGGCUAGCGUUGCUCGGAAUCACUGGGCGUAAAGCGCACGUAGGCGGAUUGUUAAGUCAGGGGUGAAAUCCUGGAGCUCAACUCCAGAACUGCCUUUGAUACUGGCGAUCUCGAGUCCGGGAGAGGUGAGUGGAACUGCGAGUGUAGAGGUGAAAUUCGUAGAUAUUCGCAAGAACACCAGCGGCGAAGGCGGCAUCCUGGACUGGUCCUGACACUCAGGAGCGAAAGCGUGGGGAGCGAUCCGG